ensembl:rRNA 5S_rRNA 5S ribosomal RNA
GCCAGCAGCUAUGUCACCCUGCAGCUCUCAACUGGCUACCUACUGAACCUAAGCAGGGUUGAACCUGGUCAGUACCUGGAUGGGAGACUUCAUGGGAAGCUAUGGUUGCUGCUGGAA